GUGGGAGCUGGCUUGCCUGCGAUGGCGGUGUGCCAGUCGGCAAAUGAGACACUGACCCACCGCUAUCGCAGGCAAGCCAGCUCCCAC
rnacentral:misc_RNA from 1 species